rnacentral:rRNA from 1 species
UACGUAGGGGGCAAGCGUUGUCCGGAAUCAUUGGGCGUAAAGCGCGUGUAGGCGGCCCGGUAAGUCCGCUGUGAAAGUCGGGGGCUCAACCCUCGAAUGCCGGUGGAUACUGUCGGGCUAGAGUGCGGGAGAGGCGAGUGGAAUUCCUGGUGUAGGCGGUGAAAUGCGCAGAUAUCAGGAGGAACACCAAUUGCGAAGGCAGCUCGCUGGAACGUAA